UUUCAUUGGAGAGUUUGAUCCUGGCUCAGGACGAACGCUGGCGGCGUGCUUAACACAUGCAAGUCGAACGGAAAGGCCCUGCUUUUGUGGGGUGCUCGAGUGGCGAACGGGUGAGUAACACGUGAGUAACCUGCCCUUGACUUUGGGAUAACUUCAGGAAACUGGGGCUAAUACCGGAUAGGAGCUCCUGCUGCAUGGUGGGGGUUGGAAAGUUUCGGCGGUUGGGGAUGGACUCGCGGCUUAUCAGCUUGUUGGUGGGGUAGUGGCUUACCAAGGCUUUGACGGGUAGCCGGCCUGAGAGGGUGACCGGCCACAUUGGGACUGAGAUACGGCCCAGACUCCUACGGGAGGCAGCAGUGGGGAAUAUUGCACAAUGGGCGGAAGCCUGAUGCAGCAACGCCGCGUGCGGGAUGACGGCCUUCGGGUUGUAAACCGCUUUCGCCUGUGACGAAGCGUGAGUGACGGUAAUGGGUAAAGAAGCACCGGCUAACUACGUGCCAGCAGCCGCGGUGAUACGUAGGGUGCGAGCGUUGUCCGGAUUUAUUGGGCGUAAAGGGCUCGUAGGUGGUUGAUCGCGUCGGAAGUGUAAUCUUGGGGCUUAACCCUGAGCGUGCUUUCGAUACGGGUUGACUUGAGGAAGGUAGGGGAGAAUGGAAUUCCUGGUGGAGCGGUGGAAUGCGCAGAUAUCAGGAGGAACACCAGUGGCGAAGGCGGUUCUCUGGGCCUUUCCUGACGCUGAGGAGCGAAAGCGUGGGGAGCGAACAGGCUUAGAUACCCUGGUAGUCCACGCUGUAAACGGUGGGUACUAGGUGUGGGGUCCAUUCCACGGGUUCCGUGCCGUAGCUAACGCUUUAAGUACCCCGCCUGGGGAGUACGGCCGCAAGGCUAAAACUCAAAGGAAUUGACGGGGCCCCGCACAAGCGGCGGAGCAUGCGGAUUAAUUCGAUGCAACGCGUAGAACCUUACCUGGGUUUGACAUGGAUCGGGAGCGCUCAGAGAUGGGUGUGCCUCUUUUGGGGUCGGUUCACAGGUGGUGCAUGGCUGUCGUCAGCUCGUGUCGUGAGAUGUUGGGUUAAGUCCCGCAACGAGCGCAACCCUUGUUCACUGUUGCCAGCACGUUAUGGUGGGGACUCAGUGGAGACCGCCGGGGUCAACUCGGAGGAAGGUGGGGAUGACGUCAAGUCAUCAUGCCCCUUAUGUCCAGGGCUUCACGCAUGCUACAAUGGCUGGUACAGAGAGUGGCGAGCCUGUGAGGGUGAGCGAAUCUCGGAAAGCCGGUCUCAGUUCGGAUUGGGGUCUGCAACUCGACCUCAUGAAGUCGGAGUCGCUAGUAAUCGCAGAUCAGCAACGCUGCGGUGAAUACGUUCCCGGGGCUUGUACACACCGCCCGUCAAGUCAUGAAAGUUGGUAACACCCGAAGCCGGUGGCCUAACCGUUGUGGGGGAGCCGUCGAAGGUGGGACUGGUGAUUAGGACUAAGUCGUAACAAGGUAGCCGUACCGGAAGGUGCGGCUGGAUCACCUCCUUUCU
rnacentral:rRNA from 2 species